rnacentral:rRNA from 2 species
CAUGUCUUUUUGAUAAUAAUUUAAAGUCUGACCUGCUCAAUGAAUUUUUAAAUUGCCGCAGUAUCCUAACUGUGCAAAGGUAGCAUAAUAAUUAGUUUUUUUAUUGAAAGCUGGAAUGAAUGGUUGGACAAGAGAAUAACUGUCUCUUUUUUAUUUUUUGUUGAAGUUAAUUUUUAGGUUAAAAAGCCUAAAUUUUUUUAAAAGACGAGAAGACCCUAUAGAGUUUUAUUUUUAUUAUUAUUAUUAUUUUGAGGUAUUAAAUUUAUUGAUUUUUUUAAAAAUUUGGUUGGGGUGACUAAAAGAUUUAAUUAACUCUUAAAAUUUUAAUCAUUGAUUUGUGAAUUUUUAAUCUAUAUUUUUAAAUAUAAAAUAAAUUACCUUAGGGAUAACAGCGUUAUUUUUCUUUAGAGUUCUUAUUGAAAGAGAAGUUUGCGACCUCGAUGUUGGAUUAAAAUUUAUUUUUGGUGAAGGAGCUGAAAAAUUGAGUCUGUUCGACUUUUAAAAUUUUACAUGAUCUGAGU